AGGGCAUACGGCGGAUGCCUAGGCGCCAUCAGCCGAUGAAGGACGCGGUAAGCUGCGAAAAGCUACGGGGAACUGCAAGCAAGUAUUGAUCCGUAGAUGUCCGAAUGGGGAACCCCCCCUGCCGUCAUGGGCAGGUAUCCGAAAGGAAGGGAACCCGGGGAACUGAAACAUCUAAGUACCCGGAGGAAGAGAAAUCAAACGAGAUGCCCACAGUAGCGGCGAGCGAAGAGGGCAGAGGGCAAACCGGGGAGCUACGGCUCUUCGGGGUUGAGGACUGCAUUUAGUCUUAAUGGUCUAUCCGAACUACCUGGAAAGGUAGGCAACACAGUGUAAAAGCCACGUAGGUUAAAGGCCAGAGAGAUGAGCAGUAUCCAGAGUACCACGAGGCACGAGGAAUCUUGUGGGAAGCCGGGGGGACCACCCUCCAACCCUAAACACUGAAUGGCGACCGAUAGCGCAUAGUACCGUGAGGGAAAGGUGAAAAGAACCCCGGGAGGGGAGUGAAAGAGAACCUGAAACCGUAUGUCUACAAGCAGUCGGAGCGAAAGCGACGGCGUGCCUAUUGAAGAAUGAACCAACGAGUUACGUGCACUAGCGAGGUUAAGUGGAAGACACGGAGCCGAAGCGAAAGCGAGUCUUAAGAGGGCGGAUAGUUAGUGUACGUAGACCCGAAACCGCAGUGAUCUACCCAUGUCCAGGUUGAAGCGCAGGUAAAAUUGCGUGGAGGACCGAACCUGUGAGCGUUGAAAAGCUUUAGGAUGAGAUGUGGGUAGAGGUGAAAUUCCAAUCGAACGCGGAGAUAGCUGGUUCUCCCCGAAAUAGCUUUAGGGCUAGCCUCAAGUAGUAAGUAUAGGCGGUAGAGCACUGAUCGGGCUAGGGGCCAUAAAGGUUACCGAACCCUGUCAAACUCCGAAUGGUUAUACUGUAGAGCUUGGGAGUCAGACUACGAGUGAUAAGAUCCGUGGUCAAAAGGGAAACAGCCCAGACCACCAGCUAAGGUCCCCAAUGUCGUACUAAGUGGAAAAGGAUGUGGGGUCUCUAAAACAACCAGGAUGUUGGCUUAGAAGCAGCCAUCAUUUAAAGAGUGCGUAAUAGCUCACUGGUCGAGAGACCCUGCGCCGAAGAUUACCGGGGCUAAAGUACGAAACCGAAGCUGUGGCUACGACGUAAGUCGUGGGGUAGGGGAGCGUUCUGUGAGGGCUGAAGUCGUUCUGUAAGGAACGGUGGACUUCACAGAAGUGAGAAUGUUGGUAUGAGUAGCGAAAAGAAUGGUGAGAAUCCAUUCCACCGAAAGCAUAAGGAUUCCUGGGCAACGAUCGUCGUCCCAGGGUAAGUCGGGACCUAAUCCGAGGCAUGGAGCGUAGGAGAUGGACAACUGGCAGAUAUUCCAGUACCGGUAAUGAUUGUUUGAGCGAUGGAGUGACACAGGAGGGCAGGCAGGCAGGAGAUUGGUUGUUCCUGUACAAGCGUGUAGGAUGGGACGUAGGCAAAUCCGCGUCCUGCGAGUCUGAGGCGUGAUGUGGAGGUUCCGGAAACGGAACUGAAGCUGCUGACCCCACACUGUCGAGAAAAGCUUCUAGUUAGAGAAUUACCGCCCGUACCGUAAACCGACACAGGUAUGCGGGGAGAGAAUCCUAAGGUGCGCGGGAGAACCCUCGUUAAGGAACUCGGCAAAAUGUACCCGUAACUUCGGGAUAAGGGUAGCCGCUGUUGUGAAGUCUGAACAGACGGAGCAUGAGGCGGUCGCAGAGAAGAGGCCCAAGCGACUGUUUACCACAAACACAGGUGCCUGCUAAAGAGAAAUCUGACGUAUAGGUGCUGACACCUGCCCAGUGCCGGAAGGUUAAGGAAGGAUGUCCGGAGCAAUCCAAAGCAUUCGACCGAAGCCCCGGUGAACGGCGGCCGUAACUAUAACGGUCCUAAGGUAGCGAAAUUCCUUGUCGGGUAAGUUCCGACCCGCACGAAAGGUGUAACGAUUUGGGCACUGUCUCAACGAGGGACCCGGUGAAAUUGAAGUACCUGUGAAGAUGCAGGUUACCCGCGACUGGACAGAAAGACCCCAUGGAGCUUUACUGUAACCUGACAUUGGGUUCUGAUACAUCACGUACAGGAUAGGUGGGAGGCAUGGAAGCGAGGACGCUAGUCUUCGUGGAGCCGCCGUUGGGAUACCACCCUUGAUGUAUCGGAAUUCUAACCGUAGGAGUAACGAAACUCGGGACAGUGUCAGGCGGGCAGUUUGACUGGGGCGGUCGCCUCCCAAAGAGUAACGG
rnacentral:rRNA from 1 species